CGUGAUGCACGUGAUUUGUAACCUGAAAUGGAAAAGUACUAAGUACUCGUGUGGUGGAUCAACAGUUUCAUCGGGGUUAAUGCAAACGUCAACGACUCGAUUAGCCGUUUGCAAUCUUCGUCACCGUUGUCAGACACGGAACAACACAAUGGCUUUUAUGGCGAAUAGUAGAAGAAUCGACAGGGAACAGAUGUUAGCCAGACGGAAGAAGCUUGAAAGAAGCAGAGGACGAGGCAGGAAGGUGUGGGUGGUUUAGCUGCGAAUUAAUCCUCCGAGAAAGGGAGCAGGUGUCGGCCGCAUUUCCGGAUAGCGCGACGUUCGACUCUUCUUUCGUAGAAGAAUUCGAAACAGCUUCCUUUGUCCGACACCCACGUGUUCUCCCACGAGCAAACCGUACAUGGGAUUUCAACGAUUGUUCAUCACGUUCUUUCAAUGUAUAUCGAUACGUUAUAAUUGGAUUUGUCUCUUCGUUUUGAUGAAACCUAUUUUUCGAAGCAUUUUUGGCUCACAGCUACGAUGCGUCGGCUUUCAACGUGAUAACUUAAUAUUUAGGGAAUUGUUUAUUUUUACGGGCAUGUCCAAUCUUUUAUUAAAUUCGCCCCAAUUUA